GAUGAACGCUGGCGGCGUGCCUAAUACAUGCAAGUCGAGCGAACGGACGAGAAGCUUGCUUCUCUGAUGUUAGCGGCGGACGGGUGAGUAACACGUGGAUAACCUACCUAUAAGACUGGGAUAACUUCGGGAAACCGUAGCUAAUACCGGAUAAUAUUUUGAACCGCAUGGUUCAAAAGUGAAAGACGGUCUUGCUGUCACUUAUAGAUGGAUCCGCGCUGCAUUAGCUAGUUGGUAAGGUAACGGCUUACCAAGGCAACGAUGCAUAGCCGACCUGAGAGGGUGAUCGGCCACACUGGAACUGAGACACGGUCCAGACUCCUACGGGAGGCAGCAGUAGGGAAUCUUCCGCAAUGGGCGAAAGCCUGACGGAGCAACGCCGCGUGAGUGAUGAAGGUCUUCGGAUCGUAAAACUCUGUUAUUAGGGAAGAACAUAUGUGGAAGUAACUGUGCACAUCUUGACGGUACCUAAUCAGAAAGCCACGGCUAACUACGUG
rnacentral:rRNA from 1 species